CUCAGUGGCAGACUAUGAAUACUACAAAAUCGCAAAUAACCAAGAUGUCAAGGUUCCCUGAGAGGAGUUGCUCUUCGGGAUGGGAUACUCUGUAUCCAGUGAUGAUUGGCUCACACAUCAGAGAGCUGAGGCUCCAACACAUAAAACUAUGAAAGAAGACCACUCAGACUUAAGAAAGGCUUGUAACCCAGC
rnacentral:lncRNA from 1 species